ensembl:lncRNA
CACGGUGACUUUCUCAUCCUCAAGCAUGAUCUGCAGGAAGAGCCGUCUGAUGAACCCGGAGAUGUUCCCCGAGACAGGCACGCUCCCGCGCUGGGGGGCCGACUGGAACAGCUCGCAAAGCACCUGCACAGAGGUCAGGGGUCAACACCUGGAAAGUGGGGCUCUUGCAGGGGUCAUGGAGUCAGUACCUUAACACUAGAGGUCAUGGGGUUAAACCCUAAGCCUUGAGGUCAGAAGUCAACACCUGAGCUAUGAGGGAAAAUGGCAGGAACCUAAAUCGCCUUCUGGUUCAGCUGUAAGGUCGUACCUGAACAGCCUACCCGGGCUAUGAUGUUGUUGGGGUAUGAGGUCACGGCGGAGCAGCUUACCUAUUCUCAUGGGGUCAUGGGGGCGGAACCUACUUGAGCUAAGACAUCGUCGGUUACAAGGUCCUUGCUGAGUUGUCUAGCUGAGGAAAUGAUGUCAUGGGGUACGAGGUCAAAGGGGAGCAGCCUGCCUAAGGUCAUGAGGUCAUGGGGGAGCAGCCUGCCUAAGGUCAUGAGGUCAUGGGGGAGCAGCCUGCCUAAGAUCAUGUGGUCAUUGGGGAGCAGUCUACCCGAGGUCAUGAGGUCAUGAGGGAGCAGCCUACCUGAGGUCAUGAGGUCAUGGGGGGAGGAGCCUACCUGAGCCAUGAGCCGCUGGUUGUUGGGGUGGCAGGAGAUGCAUUGCAAGAAGAAGGCCACGGUGGCGUUCUCCAGGGCCGUCCUCUGCUGGGUGCUGAGGGGCCCCGGUCGCCCCGGGGCCAGGUGGUGGGACCCCGAGGCCUGGGGGGAGGAGGCGGAGGCGCCGGCGCCGGCGGGGGAGGAGGGCGUGGUGGCGCUGCUGUGGAACCCGGCGCUGCUGGCGCUGGAGUGGCAGAGCAGGAAGAGCAGGGAGGUCCAGAGGGGGUUGACCUCGGGACCGCCCAGCCAGUCCUUCAUGGCAUGGCUGUUGCCCACCUCCGUGAGGAAGCGCAGCACGGGGGCCGCCAGCUCCGGGGCCAGGGCCGGCUGGCUGUGAUGCCACGAAGACGAAGACGACGACGACGAAGACGAAGACGAGGAGCCGUAGGAGUGGUGGUGCGGGGGCUGGUGAUGGUGGUGGGACGCGUGGUGGUGGGAGUGGUGGUGCUGCCGGUGGCGCUCCGCCUGGGAGGUGGCGGGCAGCGGCAGGUCGGCGCUGGCCAGCAGGCUGCAGCAGAGCUGGGCCAGGCUGCGGGCCAGCAGGGAGGGCAGCCCCGAGUCCAGCAGCUGCUCGAUGGCGCCGGGCGAGAGCGCGGCGGCCGCCAGCGUGGUCAGCUGGGACUCGGUGAGGUCGAGGGGCAGCCGGGCGUGCUUGGAGUCAUCCGUGAGGCCGGCGGCGGCGCUGGCCGUGGCGUUGGCGUCGUGCUGCUUCUUGCCGUCGUCCGUCAUGGAGAGCCGGUGGUGGCGGCGGUGGUGCUCCGUGGCGGCGGGCGGAGACACGAUGCCCAGCCAGGACAUGAGCAGGGAGAAGUAGCCCGGGUGGAUGUGGCACAUGGAGCACAGCAGGCUGUCCACCGCCUUCUUCAGCACCACGUUGCCCGGGAGGGACAUGGACCAGUUGUACAGCAGCCUGGGAACACGCGGGGGACGGGGCAUGACAAAAUGAACAAUACAGACAAGCGGCUGGUGGAAAACUGAUAUCUAGUGUAUCGUGAAGGUAUCAGAGUAACCCAGUUCUAUGAGAGGCCUCUCUGCUUUUUGCCAUUUUGAGGGUGAAAAUGAAAUAUCCAUCAUCAUGCAAGACUGGAAAACUUCUGUGGUUGCGGCGCAGUUGGGUGUAUUGAUUGCAGUGAAAGGACCGAGAAUAU